GCCCGGCUGGCGCAAUGGUUAGCGCAUGUGACUUCUAAUCACAAGGUUGUGGGUUCGAGUCCCACGUCGGGUU